rnacentral:lncRNA from 13 species
AUAGAUUUUAAAUCUAUAGCAACAGCUCAGACAAAUUGAGCUUUUUCUCCACUGUGACCUUCACAGAGCUCCUCCCUGGCCAAAGCUGCUUUUCUCUCCCUUGGUGUUCUUAUUUUGCUCUCUGGAAAAGAGCAAAAUGUUCUGCAUGAAAUUUUAUCUUCAACUUUCUGUGGCCAAUGAAGAGAGCCCAAAGGUUCUCGUUCGGGAAAAUGGAAGGAUCCAGGCCUGAAGGGGCAAAGGGAAAGAGGCCAUGUCUGGGACCCCGAGGGGCUGCCAGAGAGGAACUGUGGCGUGCCAAGAGGACUUAAGACCUGGCACCAGGAAAAAGCCAAGAGAACACAGAGCAAGAAGGUAGCCUUCUACGAGCCAGAAGAGAGCUCUCACCAGGAACCAAAUUGACCAGCACCUUGAUCUGGGACUUUCAGCUUCCCAAACUGUGAGAAGUUAAAUUCCUGUUGUUUAAGCCACAUAGUCUGUGGUGUUUUGUUACAACAGCCUGAGCUAAGACAUGACCCCAUGCUCUUAGACUUACCUGUAAUCUCUCUAUUCCUCUAUUAGGUCAUUGCUAACUAUGCUAGUCCAAAGGGACACCCAUUAUCUGACUUUCCACCAAAUUUUUAGAUUCCCCACAAUUCUUAGAAGCACUGAUUUGUCCUCUAUGUUGUGUGCAUGUACCUAGUCACCCCAAUAAAAUACAAGCUGCUGUAUGAGGAUGGAG